CCUACGGGGGGCAGCAGUGGGGAAUAUUGGACAAUGGGCGAAAGCCUGAUCCAGCCAUGCCGUGUGUGUGAAGAAGGCCUUCGGGUUGUAAAGCACUUUAGGUUGGGAGGAAAGGUUGUUUGUGAAUAAUGAGCAGCUGUGACGUUACCGACAGAAUAAGCACCGGCAAACUCCGUGCCAGCAGCCGCGGUAAUACGGAGGGUGCGAGCGUUAAUCGGAAUUACUGGGCGUAAAGCGCACGUAGGCGGUUAUGUAAGUGAGAUGUGAAAUCCCCGGGCUUAACCUGGGACUUGCCUCUGAGACUGCAUAGCUAGAGUAUGGGAGAGGGAGGUGGAAUUUCCGGUGUAGCGGUGAAAUGCGUAGAGAUCGGAAGGAACAUCAGUGGCGAAGGCGGCCUCCUGGCCUAAUACUGACGCUGAGGAGCGAAAGCGUGGGGAUCAAACAGGAUUAGAUACCCCUGUAGUC
rnacentral:rRNA from 1 species